rnacentral:rRNA from 1 species
CCUACGGGAGGCAGCAGUUGGGAAUCUUGCACAAUGGGGGAAACCCUGAUGCAGCGACGCCGCGUGGAGGAUGAAGGGUCUAGGCUCGUAAACUCCUUUUAUCAGGAAAGACUUAGGACGGUACCUGAUGAAUAAGCACCGGCUAACUACGUGCCAGCAGCCGCGGUAAGACGUAGGGUGCAAGCGUUGUCCGGAUUUACUGGGCGUAAAGAGCGCGUAGGCGGUCCGUUAAGUGUGAAGUGAAAUCUCCAGGGCUCAACCCGGAAACUGCUUUACAUACUGGCGGACUAGAGGGAUGGAGAGGUUUGUGGAAUUCCUAGUGUAGCGGUGAAAUGCGUAGAUAUUAGGAGGAACACCCAUGGCGAAGGCAGCAAACUGGCCAUCAUCUGACGCUGAGGCGCGAAAGCGUGGGUAGCAAACAGGAUUAGAUACCCUGGUAGUCCACGCCCUAAACGAUGGAUACUAGGCGUAAGAGGUAUCGACCCCUCUUGUGCCGCAGCUAACGCAUUAAGUAUCCCGCCUGGGGACUACGGCCGCAAGGUUGAAACUCAAAGGAAUUGACGG